AGCAUCAAGCCGGAAUUAACGGACUACUCUGAUGAGGUAGAAUAUGGAAAAUAACCCUGAUGCCU
rnacentral:tRNA from 1 species